UACGUAUGGGGCAAGCGUUAUCCGGAUUUACUGGGUGUAAAGGGAGCGUAGGCGGCCUGGCAAGCCUGAUGUGAAAUACCGGGGCCCAACCCCGGGGCUGCAUUGGGAACUGCCAGGCUGGAGUGCCGGAGAGGCAGGCGGAAUUCCUAGUGUAGCGGUGAAAUGCGUAGAUAUUAGGAGGAACACCAGUGGCGAAGGCGGCCUGCUGGACCGUGACUGACGUUGAGGCUCGAAAGCGUGGGGAGCAAACAGG
rnacentral:rRNA from 1 species